AUGUUAGGAUCUGCAUGUGGGAGUAAUGUAUUUCAUUCUCCAUUUCUUCUUUUUAUACUUCACUGGCCGUCUUGCUUCGGCGCCGUUGCAGUUGUGUCCUUCACUCGCAGACAGUGUCUUUCACUCCCUGUCAUUCUUCUUCUCCGCCACUGUAUCGGUGUCUACCUAUGCUGCAAUUUUCUCCUUUUUCAUUAA